GCUGGGGAGAUAGCUCAGUUGGUAGAGUGCUUGCCUCCCAAGCACGAGUCCCUGGGUUCGAUCCCCAGCACGGCA